rnacentral:rRNA from 1 species
GAUGAACGCUGGCGGCGUGCCUAAUACAUGCAAGUCGAGCGAACGGACGAGAAGCUUGCUUCUCUGAUGUUAGCGGCGGACGGGUGAGUAACACGUGGAUAACCUACCUAUAAGACUGGGAUAACUUCGGGAAACCGGAGCUAAUACCGGAUAAUAUUUUGAACCGCAUGGUUCAAAAGUGAAAGACGGUCUUGCUGUCACUUAUAGAUGGAUCCGCGCUGCAUUAGCUAGUUGGUAAGGUAACGGCUUACCAAGGCAACGAUGCAUAGCCGACCUGAGAGGGUGAUCGGCCACACUGGAACUGAGACACGGUCCAGACUCCUGCGGGAGGCAGCAGUAGGGAAUCUUCCGCAAUGGGCGAAAGCCUGACGGAGCAACGCCGCGUGAGUGAUGAAGGUCUUCGGAUCGUAAAACUCUGUUAUUAGGGAAGAACAUAUGUGUAAGUAACUGUGCACAUCUUGACGGUACCUAAUCAGAAAGCCACGGCUAACUACGUGCCAGCAGCCGCGGUAAUACGUAGGUGGCAAGCGUUAUCCGGAAUUAUUGGGCGUAAAGCGCGCGUAGGCGGUUUUUUAAGUCUGAUGUGAAAGCCCACGGCUCAACCGUGGAGGGUCAUUGGAAACUGGAAAACUUGAGUGCAGAAGAGGAAAGUGGAAUUCCAUGUGUAGCGGUGAAAUGCGCAGAGAUAUGGAGGAACACCAGUGGCGAAGGCGACUUUCUGGUCUGUAACUGACGCUGAUGUGCGAAAGCGUGGGGAUCAAACAGGAUUAGAUACCCUGGUAGUCCACGCCGUAAACGAUGAGUGCUAAGUGUUAGGGGGUUUCCGCCCCUUAGUGCUGCAGCUAACGCAUUAAGCACUCCGCCUGGGGAGUACGACCGCAAGGUUGAAACUCAAAGGAAUUGACGGGGACCCGCACAAGCGGUGGAGCAUGUGGUUUAAUUCGAAGCAACGCGAAGAACCUUACCAAAUCUUGACAUCCUUUGACAACUCUAGAGAUAGAGCCUUCCCCUUCGGGGGGGCAAAGUGACAGGUGGUGCAUGGUUGUCGUCAGCUCGUGUCGUGAGAUGUUGGGUUAAGUCCCGCAACGAGCGCAACCCUUAAGCUUAGUUGCCAUCAUUAAGUUGGGCACUCUAAGUUGACUGCCGGUGACAAACCGGAGGAAGGUGGGGAUGACGUCAAAUCAUCAUGCCCCUUAUGAUUUGGGCUACACACGUGCUACAAUGGACAGUACAAAGGGCAGCGAAACCGCGAGGUCAAGCAAAUCCCAUAAAGUUGUUCUCAGUUCGGAUUGUAGUCUGCAACUCGACUACAUGAAGCUGGAAUCGCUAGUAAUCGUAGAUCAGCAUGCUACGGUGAAUACGUUCCCGGGUCU